UCCUACGGGAGGCAGCAGUAAGGAAUAUUGGUCAAUGGACGCAAGUCUGAACCAGCUUGUAAACUUCUUUUAUCUGGGACGAAAACACUUGACGGUACCAGAGGAAUAAGCACCGGCUAACUCCGUGCCAGCAGCCGCGGUAAUACGGAGGGUGCAAGCGUUAUCCGGAUUUACUGGGUUUAAAGGGUGCGUAGGUGGGCAGGUAAGUCAGCGGUGAAAUCUCCGAGCUUAACUCGGAAACUGCCAUUGAUACUAUCUGUCUUGAAUAUCCUGGAGGUGAGCGGAAUAUGUCAUGUAGCGGUGAAAUGCUUAGAUAUGACAUAGAACACCAAUUGCGAAGGCAGCUCACUACGGGGUGCACGAAAGCGUGGGGAUCAAACAGGAUUAGAUACCCUGGUAGUCCACGCCCUAAACGAUGGAUACUCGACAUACGCGAUACACUGUGUGUGUCUGAGCGAAAGCAUUAAGUAUCCCACCUGGGAAGUACGAUCGCAAGAUGAAACUCAAAGGAAUUGACGG
rnacentral:rRNA from 1 species